UCAAGGAAGUAGAGAAAUAAAUUCCAUCUCUUGAUGGAGGAAUGACAAUGGCAAUGUUCAAAUGCAGAGAAGCAUAUGGUAAAAGAUGUUUCUACAACCAUCUUUGGAACAUAUAAUCUUCUACAAGUAAUGAAGGGAAUGGAAUAAUUGUUUGGGGAAGAGGCAACAUCAUAGGGAAAGCAAUAGUGGAACCAAGUUUUGAAGAAUCAAAAUAUCAAAAGGAGACACUUUGGUCAGAGCAGGAAUCAAGCUUCAGGAGACAAAUCUAGUGAAAAAAAUAAAAUAAAGAAUAAAGAAAGAAGGAAAAAAUCAAAGGAAAAAAGAUAUGAGCUAACAACAGGUAUUCAUGAGAAAAAAACCUUAAUGAUGCAACAGUGGAAUGGAUGGUUGCCAAAACACCCAGACUCAAGUGGCUUUGGAAAAU